GACGAACGCUGGCGGGAGGCCUAACACAUGCAAGUCAAACGGGAUUGGGAGCUUGCUCCCAUGAGAGUGGCGCACGGGUGAGUAACGCGUAUGCAACCUACCUUUAACUGAGGGAUAGCCCAUAGAAAUGUGGAUUAAUACCUCAUAGUUCUAUUAGAUCGCAUGAUUUGAUAGAUAAAGCUCCGGCGGUUAAAGAUGGGCAUGCGUGACAUUAGUUUGUUGGUGAGGUAACGGCUCACCAAGACUACGAUGUCUAGGGGUUCUGAGAGGAUGAUCCCCCACACUGGUACUGAGACACGGACCAGACUCCUACGGGAGGCAGCAGUGAGGAAUAUUGGUCAAUGGGCGCAAGCCUGAACCAGCCAUCCCGCGUGAAGGAUGAAGGCCCUAUGGGUCGUAAACUUCUUUUAUACACCAAGAAAAACACCCACGUGUGGGUGCCCGACGGUAGUGUAUGAAUAAGCAUCGGCUAACUCCGUGCCAGCAGCCGCGGUAAUACGGAGGAUGCAAGCGUUAUCCGGAUUCAUUGGGUUUAAAGGGUGCGUAGGCGGCUUUUUAAGUCAGUGGUGAAAUCUUGCCGCUUAACGGUAAAAUUGCCAUUGAUACUGAUAAGCUUGAGUACAAUUGAGGUAAGCGGAAUGUGUAGUGUAGCGGUGAAAUGCUUAGAUAUUACACAGAACACCGAUUGCGAAGGCAGCUUACUAAACUGUUACUGACGCUGAUGCACGAAAGCGUGGGGAGCGAACAGGAUUAGAUACCCUGGUAGUCCACGCCGUAAACGAUGAUCACUCGCUGUAUGCGAUACACAGUAUGCGGCCAAGCGAAAGCAUUAAGUGAUCCACCUGGGGAGUACGAUCGCAAGGUUG
rnacentral:rRNA from 1 species